AGCUCCAAUAGCGUAUAUUAAAGUUGUUGCAGUUAAAAAGCUCGUAGUCUGAAUCUUGGUCUGGUGUUGAGCGUCCGUUGGACUCUUUACGGGGUCUACGUGCAUGCGAUAUUUACACUGACCGAUUUUUGUACUUCGGAGGAACUUGGGUGCUUUUCACUAAGUGUCCAAGGAAUUCCGAUAGUUUACUUUGAGAAAAAUAGAGUGUUCAAAGCAGGCGUUUUUGCCUUGAAUACAUUAGCAUGGGAUAAUGGAAUAGGACAUUGGUUCUAUUUUGUUGGUUUACGGACCGAUGUAAUGAUUAAUAGGAACAGUUGGGGACAUUUGAAUUCCGCGGCUAGAGGUGAAAUUCUUGGAUUCGUGGAAGUCAAACUACUGCGAAAGCAUUUGUCAAAGAUGUUUUCA
rnacentral:rRNA from 1 species